UACGUAGGGUGCGAGCGUUAAUCGGAAUUACUGGGCGUAAAGCGUGCGCAGGCGGCUUCGCAAGUCAGACGUGAAAUCCCCGGGCUUAACCUGGGAAUGGCGUUUGAAACUACGGAGCUGGAGUAUGGCAGGAGGGGGGUGGAAUUCCACGUGUAGCAGUGAAAUGCGUAGAGAUGUGGAGGAACACCGAUGGCGAAGGCAGCCCCCUGGGCUGAGAUUGACGCUCAGGCACGAAAGCGUGGGGAGCGAACAGG
rnacentral:rRNA from 1 species